AUGAAGAAGGAAGAAGUGCUUCUGUUUCUUCAGAGGAGCUCCAGUCUUCACCCUCGCCUUGGAAAUCAUUUUCAGCCUUCAUUGCAGACCCUUCAGCCUCCUGAGACAGACCCCUCAGGACACUACAGUGGCUCCAGGCCUUUGACUGGAUCUUUCGGAUCUCCAGUGAACACACAGAUCCUUUGCACCCUUCCACAUCUGAUUCUGUGGGUGGUCACCAAAUCAUGCCUUCCUACUACUCACAAAAUGAAGGGAAAAAAUGCAACUCCAGCUGUGAUGAAACCAGAAGGUACCUGUGACUCCACCUGCAGUAUUUGGAGAAAGGCUGCCAAAUAUACUGCGGGUCAAGGAGGACUGCAGGAAGAUGCUGGGAGACAUGGUGGUUAAACACUUUGGAAUUAACCCAACAAAGGAAGUUAGAGGUCCUAUAACAAAAAUUAUAGAACUCUGAAAAAGGAGAUCAAAGAGAACAUCAGGAAACAUGGAUAUUGUCAGGUAAAAGGGCCAAAAACCAAGACCAGACCAGGCCACAACAAGCCUUUAUUAGGGGAAUAGAUCUGCUGGGCUGUCUCUGAACAAAGGAGAGACAAAAGCAAUAUGGCUGGGGCAGGGAGAGUCUUUUAUAGAGACUGGGGUGGGGUUUGUAGGGGCUGAGGUGGGGUUGAGUGAGGUAGUGACUAGGGAAUGGAGGAGCCGGUGAUGUCACUAGGUGGUAGGAGGUGAGCGAGUAUUAGGUGACUCUCUAGGUAGGAUCAGGGGCAUGCUGGGAAGAAGGGUUUGUUCUUUGGUGGGAGCAACCAUCUUGGCAUGAUGUCACACAGGGGAGGGGGCAAGUCACAAUUCGAAGAGGGCAGCUACUAUACAUAAUAGCUGCUGAAGUAGUGGGAGACCUAUCAGAUAUAUACCUUAUUUCUGGAUAAACAAAGUCAUUAUUGUCCAAAUGACUAAAAUGAUAUAUAG
rnacentral:lncRNA from 1 species